rnacentral:pre_miRNA from 1 species
CAUGCACCAGUGGGGUCCCUCAGCCUGGCCUGUGGGAAUUGGACUGAAACCAGCUCUCUGACAUCUCCCAAGGGGUCCCAGAUUGCGAGAGGGUGCAGGCCAGGCCGAGGGACCCCACUGGUGCACG